AGCAGGCUAAGAUGACAACAAUACCUGCCAAUGACGUUUCCCAGUUGCUUUAAAUGUUCAAAAUCAUAGGGUAAGAACUUUUCAAGCCUCAAAGGAUAAGACGAUCCAACUUUCAAAAUGAGUCCUAGGAACUGGGUUCUACAGUUUGACCCAACUGCUGUCUCUGGCUCCACACCCACCCCACCCGGCCAUCUAGAUGUGUGAAGGUCAUCAGGUUGCUGAUUAUCCCGCACACCUGUCACCAUCGUCUCGUGCACCUGCGCCUCAUGACACUCACCUGGACUCCAUCACCUCCUUGAUUAUCUUCCCUAUAUCUGUCACUCUCCUUGGUUCUUUCCACAGGUGUUAUUGACUCUGUUUUCGUGUCGGUGCGUUGUUUGUGUUUUGUGUGCAUUGUUUCUUUUAUUUAUUAAAACACU
ensembl:lncRNA